rnacentral:rRNA from 2 species
GCGGCGGACGGGUGAGUAACACGUGGGUAACCUGCCUGUAAGACUGGGAUAACUCCGGGAAACCGGGGCUAAUACCGGAUGGUUGUUUGAACCGCAUGGUUCAAACAUAAAAGGUGGCUUCGGCUACCACUUACAGAUGGACCCGCGGCGCAUUAGCUAGUUGGUGAGGUAAUGGCUCACCAAGGCAACGAUGCGUAGCCGACCUGAGAGGGUGAUCGGCCACACUGGGACUGAGACACGGCCCAGACUCCUACGGGAGGCAGCAGUAGGGAAUCUUCCGCAAUGGACGAAAGUCUGACGGAGCAACGCCGCGUGAGUGAUGAAGGUUUUCGGAUCGUAAAGCUCUGUUGUUAGGGAAGAACAAGUACCGUUCGAAUAGGGCGGUACCUUGACGGUACCUAACCAGAAAGCCACGGCUAACUACGUGCCAGCAGCCGCGGUAAUACGUAGGUGGCAAGCGUUGUCCGGAAUUAUUGGGCGUAAAGGGCUCGCAGGCGGUUUCUUAAGUCUGAUGUGAAAGCCCCCGGCUCAACCGGGGAGGGUCAUUGGAAACUGGGGAACUUGAGUGCAGAAGAGGAGAGUGGAAUUCCACGUGUAGCGGUGAAAUGCGUAGAGAUGUGGAGGAACACCAGUGGCGAAGGCGACUCUCUGGUCUGUAACUGACGCUGAGGAGCGAAAGCGUGGGGAGCGAACAGGAUUAGAUACCCUGGUAGUCCACGCCGUAAACGAUGAGUGCUAAGUGUUAGGGGGUUUCCGCCCCUUAGUGCUGCAGCUAACGCAUUAAGCACUCCGCCUGGGGAGUACGGUCGCAAGACUGAAACUCAAAGGAAUUGACGGGGGCCCGCACAAGCGGUGGAGCAUGUGGUUUAAUU